rnacentral:rRNA from 1 species
GAUGAACGCUGGCGGCGUGCCUAAUACAUGCAAGUCGAGCGAACGGACGAGAAGCUUGCUUCUCUGAUGUUAGCGGCGGACGGGUGAGUAACACGUGGAUAACCUACCUAUAAGACUGGGAUAACUUCGGGAAACCGGAGCUAAUACCGGAUAAUAUUUUGAACCGCAUGGUUCAAAAGUGAAAGACGGUCUUGCUGUCACUUAUAGAUGGAUCCGCGCUGCAUUAGCUAGUUGGUAAGGUAACGGCUUACCAAGGCAACGAUGCAUAGCCGACCUGAGAGGGUGAUCGGCCACACUGGAACUGAGACACGGUCCAGACUCCUACGGGAGGCAGCAGUAGGGAAUCUUCCGCAAUGGGCGAAAGCCUGACGGAGCAACGCCGCGUGAGUGAUGAAGGUCUUCGGAUUGUAAAACUCUGUUAUUAGGGAAGAACAUAUGUGUAAGUAACUGUGCACAUCUUGACGGUACCUAAUCAGAAAGCCACGGCUAACUACGUGCCAGCAGCCGCGGUAAUACGUAGGUGGCAAGCGUUACCCGGAAUUAUUGGGCGUAAAGCGCGCGUAGGCGGUUUUUUAAGUCUGAUGUGAAAGCCCACGGCUCAACCGUGGAGGGUCAUUGGAAACUGGAAAACUUGAGUGCAGAAGAGGAAAGUGGAAUUCCAUGUGUAGCGGUGAAAUGCGCAGAGAUAUGGAGGAACACCAGUGGCGAAGGCGACUUUCUGGUCUGUAACUGACGCUGAUGUGCGAAAGCGUGGGGAUCAAACAGGAUUAGAUACCCUGGUAGUCCACGCCGUAAACGAUGAGUGCUAAGUGUUAGGGGGUUUCCGCCCCUUAGUGCUGCAGCUAACGCAUUAAGCACUCCGCCUGGGGAGUACGACCGCAAGGUUGAAACUCAAAGGAAUUGACGGGGACCCGCACAAGCGGUGGAGCAUGUGGUUUAAUUCGAAGCAACGCGAAGAACCUUACCAAAUCUUGACAUCCUUUGACAACUCUAGAGAUAGAGCUUUCCCCUUCGGGGGACAAAGUGACAGGUGGUGCAUGGUUGUCGUCAGCUCGUGUCGUGAGAUGUUGGGUUAGGUCCCGCAACGAGCGCAACCCUUAAGCUUAGUUGCCAUCAUUAAGUUGGGCACUCUAAGUUGACUGCCGGUGACAAACCGGAGGAAGGUGGGGAUGACGUCAAAUCAUCAUGCCCCUUAUGAUUUGGGCUACACACGUGCUACAAUGGACAAUACAAAGGGCAGCGAAACCGUGAGGUCAAGCAAAUCCCAUAAAGUUGUUCUCAGUUCGGAUUGUAGUCUGCAACUCGGCUACAUGAAGCUGGAAUCGCUAGUAAUCGUAGAUCAGCAUGCUACGGUGAAUACGUUCCCGGGUCU